AUUGAACGCUGGCGGCAGGCCUAACACAUGCAAGUCGAACGAGUGGCGGACGGGUGAGUAAUGUCUGGGAAACUGCCAGAUGGAGGGGGAUAACUACUGGAAACGGUAGCUAAUACCGCAUACCAUCGGAUGUGCCCAGAUGGGAUUAGCUAGUCGGUGGGGUAAUGGCUCACCUAGGCGACGAUCCCUAGCUGGUCUGAGAGGAUGACCGGCCACACUGGAACUGAGACACGGUCCAGACUCCUACGGGAGGCAGCAGUGGGGAAUAUUGGACAAUGGGCGCAAGCCUGAUGCAGCCACGCCGCGUGUAUGAAGAAGGCCUUCGGGUUGUAAAGUACUUUCAGCGAGGAGGCGUUACUCGCAGAAGAAGCACCGGCUAACUCCGUGCCAGCAGCCGCGGUAAUUC
rnacentral:rRNA from 1 species